rnacentral:rRNA from 1 species
CGGAGGAAGUGGGGAUGACGUCAAAUCAUCAUGCCCCUUAUGACCUGGGCUACACACGUGCUACAAUGGGCGGUACAAAGGGUCGCGAACCCGCAGGGGGAGCCAAUCCCAAAAAGCCGCUCUCAGUUCGGAUUGCAGGCUGCAACUCGCCUGCAUGAAGCCGGAAUCGCUAGUAAUCGCGGAUCAGCAUGCCGCGGUGAAUACGUUCCCGGGCCUU